CCUACGUGCGGCAGCAGUGAGGAAUAUUGGUCAAUGGUCGGGAGACUGAACCAGCCAAGCCGCGUGAGGGAUGAAGGUACAGAGUAUCGUAAACCUCUUUUGUCAGGGAACAAAGGCGGGGACGUGUCCCCGGAUGCGUGUACCUGAAGAAAAAGCAUCGGCUAACUCCGUGCCAGCAGCCGCGGUAAUACGGAGGAUGGGAGCGUUAUCCGGAUUUAUUGGGUUUAAAGGGUGCGCAGGCGGUAUGUUAAGUCAGCGGUCAAAGCCCGGGGCUCAACCCCGGCCCGCCGUUGAAACUGGCAGUCUCGAGUUGGAGAGAAGUAUGCGGAAUGCGCGGUGUAGCGGUGAAAUGCAUAGAUAUCGCGCAGAACUCCGAUUGCGAAGGCAGCAUGCCGGCUCCACACUGACGCUGAGGCACGAAAGCGUGGGUAUCGAACAGGAUUAGAUAUCCGGGUAGUC
rnacentral:rRNA from 1 species